UCAACAGACUAACAGUGGGCCAACGUUGGCAAAUGGUCGGCGCGUUGGUCGACCGUUGGUGUUGGCUUCACAACAUUGGCCCAACGUUGGCAAAUUGUCGGUCCGUUGGUCGCAAGUUUAUGUUGGCUACACAACAUUAGCCCAACGUUGGCAAAUUGUCGGUCCGUUGGUCGCAAGUUUAUGUUGGCUGCACAACAUUGGCCCAGCGUUGGUAAAUUGUCGGUACAUUGGUCGCACGUUGGUGUUGGCUGCAUAACAUUGGCCCAACGUUGGUCUGUUGUUGGAAAUUCAUAUUAUUAUUUCAUGUUGGUUAUAAAUAAUCGGGCAACCGUUGGCAUAAUGUUAGUAGCAACACAGGGCCGAUAUGAAAUUUAGUUAAUAGAAUUGAUUGUAUAAUAUUUUACGCUUUAUUUCUCUUGGGAGGCGGAUAGUUUCGAUUGCAGCAGGCUUUAUGAAAAGUUAAUGUUAUACCGAAAGUGUUUAUAAACUGAAAUUACAUUUACAACUCUAUGUUGGGCCAAUGCUGGGCCAACGUUGAUCAUAUAUUAUACUCUAUAUAUAAGUCAGGUAAAAUCUAUUCUGGAAUAUCAUUACUGUAAUAAAAAUAUGUAUAUCGUAAACAUAGAUUGCCUGGUUAAAAAUUAAAAUUUAUUGCAAUCAUUAUUUAUAAUAAAUUUAUUCAUUAAACUUUGUGAAACAUAAUAAUAGCAAUUAUAUGCAGAGUGAUAUUUGAUACAGCCAGUCUGUUAAUCAAGCCGAUUCUGAUAAGGUUGACCAUAUGUUCGACAAAUUUCAAAGAUAGUUGCUAUGGUAAUUAAGUUUAUAGGAAAUCUGAAUGUAAUGGGAUGGUCACUUUUGUGACUAUUUCCUGUUGUGUAUUUGUAAGAAAGCAGUGAUACGAAGAAAAAAAAAAGAGAAAAUCAUGUCAUCUGAGAUUCAAAGAGAAAGAAAGUAACAUAGUCGGUCAGAAAAAAAACAUAGCUGUAAAGAGUCUUCGGAUAAGGAGAUAGAUGAUGCAGCUUAAGAUUGGCUGCGCUUAUGCCUUGACAAAGAAGGUGGCAAGAAACAGGAGAAGGGAAAACAGGGAAAUACAUAAUAAUGACACUGUUGAAGUUCAAAUUGAGGAGGACACUCCUCGUGGUGACGACAAAUGAAAUCAAAUUUAAAAUAAAUAAAGUUUCAUCUUCUGAAUUA